UUUCUUUCUUGCGCUAAAACUAUCCAACGCACACCCUAGCCCUAAGCGCCCAUUGUCUCCCUUUUUAACGUGUAAAAAAAUCAGAUAUAGAUCUGAUUUUUACCGUGGGGGUUUCUCAGGUCUUCUCAAUGCUAAGAAAAAAAAAAAGGCCACCCCAAAGCCCUUUUACACGCCAAAAGAUUAGGAGUUUGACUCCUAUCUAAAGACCUAUUCCACGCUAUUUAAGAUGGGCUCUUAGUCGUGAGUUUUAGAUGGCUUUUUAAUGUGAGAUGGCUGCUGGUUAGCUGUUGUUUUGAUGCAGAAAAUCAGAGGUCCAUGGUGUGGGAAAAAGAGUGAAAACGUUCCUCUUCUUGGUGCAAGAAAAGAUCAGGAAGAAGGUCUUCAUGAGCUGAAGAAAGGAAGUUCUUUCUUAUGUGCUGAUUUUUGGAGAAGAAAGGUUCCUCUUGUAGGCACAAAAAGGGUAGAGAGAAAGGUUCUCUCAUGCAUGGAAGAAAAGAGAAAAAAGAGUUCUUCUCUAUAUCUCUAGCGUAAAGAUCAUAUGCGUGGUUCUAAGAAGAAAAGGAGAAGGAUCUCCUUGUUCUUCUUCAUCUUCCUCUUUAUCCUCUUGAUCUUCUUCUCCUCUAAGAGUGUCUUGAGAGAAAAGAAGAGUUCUCCUCAACCGUCAAGAUGCGAUCUCUGCAAAAGAGCUAGCACCCCAGUGAGAUCAAAAGCUUCUGAUCAGAUCAAAGCUUUGUAUCAAGGUAUGCUGAACCGGUACCGCCAACCAUAUCGGCCGGCCAGCGGUAUGGUUUGGUACGAUUUCAUACCGUACCGAACCGACGAAGACAAACAGACCCGAAUUGGAAGAAGAAAAAGAGAGAGAAAUAGAAAGAGAGGAGGGAGAAAGAAAAAGAGGGAGGGGAAGGAGCCGGCAGGGCCGUCGGACGGCCUUUGGCUGGCCACCAGAGGGCGCAGUCCACGCGCGCGGCGCCGCGGGCGUGAAACAGAGGUGUCGCCCCUGUUUCGCGAGUUUUUUAAAAAAUAUAGUUUUAAGUGAAGCCGGCAAAUAGUUUACCGGCUUCACGAUUUUUGUCUUUUUUUUUUUUAAAAUCCCUUAAGUCGGCAACUGGGUUGCCGACUUUAUGAGUUUAAAACCAAAAAAAAAAUUAAAAUAGAUGACCGCCUGUUUUGAAAAGAAAAGGGCGAAGCCGCGGAGGGGCUCCGCCCACUCGACCACCUUCAGGCCAUCGGCGUUGGCUUGCCGGCCACCGAGGGCCUCGCGAUGGAGGCACCAUCCAUCCGGUAGGUCCCUCUCCCCUUCGAGCAUUCUCUCUCUCUUUCUCACUAUCUUGAAAGUCCUAUCGGACGAUACGGAAUUCGAAAGCCCUCCGACGGCCACAGCCGGCCACCGUCGACCUCCGACGGCUCCCACCUCCCUCCCUCUCCUCCUCUCUUUCUCACUUUCUUUUUUUUUUCUGUACCAUUGGUGUACCAAAUUUAUCGAUCGAAUCGUGUCAGUUCCCCACUGGUCCAGUACGAUACGAGGUGUACCGACUAGUUCGGCACAGUAUGGGAAACCUUGCUUUGUGUGGAUAUCCGUAGAUGUCGGAUGCUUGUGCGGCUUCAAGAGACCUUCUGAAGAUAUCCAAGAUCAUCAGAUUGUAGAUCAGCCCGUGCAAAGAUUCAGAUUUUAAAAAAAAGAAAAGCGAAACAGAUACGCGAUCCGAUCGCAUAUUUAUUUUUCAGAUUUAAAAUCAGAUUGUGUUAUUUUCUGCAUAUGAACUAAAUCCUUAGGUGCCUUCAUAUGAUGAAUGCAUGUUAUUCAUUGAAAAGAUUUUAAUCUUAUUAUUCCGCUGCAUUUUGAUUUUGAAAAUAUUUUAAAACACACAUGCACGAGCACCUUAGAAAUCUCAAUAGUGGUAGCAGAGCCACGGAUUCAUAUGUAUGAAAAUAACAUGCAUGAUUUGAAAAAGAUUUUUAAAAUACGAUUUUAAUCAAUACAUGAUAUGUAUACCUAUUUAAUUUAGAUCUGAAAAGAAUUUUGAGAUCUAAUUUUGAUUCAUAUAUAUGAUAUAUGAAAGCAUGCUUAGGUUUGAAAUUAGUUUGUAUGAUCUAAAUUUUGUUCAUAUAUGUGAUAUGUAAUUGCAUAUUUAGAUCUGAAAUUAAUUUUUAUGAUCUGAAUUUAUUCAUAUAUGUGAUAUAUGAUUGCAUGCACGAUCUGAAAAUUAUUUUAAGAUCAAAAACUUACUUUUCAUGCAAAAUCUGAAAAUUUAGAUUUAAUAUCUGAAAUUUGUGUUUGUGCAUGAGGGAUUGGUCAGGGUAGAUCAAAUUAGAUCAUGUAAUUGGAUUACACCUAGAAUUUUUGAUUUGAUCAUAAUGGGUCUAAAUCGAUUUAGCGGUUGAUCAAAUUGAGUUAAAUGUUGAUUAGGAUUAGGUCAAUAAAGCUUAAGAUUAUACAAUUAAUAUUGAUUGAAUCGAUUGACACCCAUAUGUAGAUCAAUUUACCUAAGGACCUAAUUCGACUUUGUGGUUCGAGCCUGAUUCACCUAUGCUAAUCUAUUUGGACCAAUUGAUCAAUUGGUGUCUAAGACAAGGACUUGAGAGGUGGUUACUUAAUUAGGACCCAUGAUCCCAUCAAAGGGGAGUCUCCCACCGAUCUUCGCUUAUCUGACUAAUUUGAAAGGUUGAGUCUUGAAUAUGGUUGCUUGGUGAUUUGGUUUAGUCCAUGCCAAUUAGAUCAGUCAUGUGAUGAUUGAUUAGUUGAGAUCUGAAUCAAAUCUCUUCGUAAAUAUUAAGCCUAUCAAUCUUCCAUCUUUGUAGAUGUGCAGGCGUGCUACCGACGUUGAUUAUUCUCGACUGAUCACAGUAGUUCAAUUGCAUCAGGAAUACGCAACCACUCUAUUAGCAAAGAGUUGCUCCAGGAUAAGGAUGGGGUUGGACCCAAUAUCUGUCAGAUGAGGGACUCAGUAAUGGCUUUGUACCUACUUGUAAAUGGUGGGUCGGGCUUAACUAAAGAGUGUAGUCAAUAUCUGUCAAGUGAGCCCACAUGACUUAGAGAUCACAUCGCCGCAACAUGCUUAGAGAAGCAUCUGGGCAAAAAAUUGUCCAUACAUCAAUGUGCGUGUUACCAAUAUCUAUCAGGUGAAGUGCACGGCAUCGGUGGGACCACAGCACCUAUUAGAAAUCCAGUUAUUGUAUUAGGGUUUUUGUUUCUCCACCUGGAGAGUGAGAGAUUUGAUAAAAUAGUAAGAACCUAUUUGUUUCUUAAAAUCUUUAGAAUAAAUUAUAAAAUAAAUACAUAUAUCUAAUUAGAAUAUUUACUCUCUGCGGUUUACUGUGUCCGCUUCCAACACUCUAGCUCAAAUCCUAGAUAUCAACCGUUUAACCGAAACUAAUUACAUACACUGGCUCAGAAACUAUAAGAAUCAUUCUUAAUUUUAGAAAAUUAAGCCAUGUUCUCAAUCCGAUUAUCCCUAUGUUAUUAACCUGUCCAAUCCAUAGUCAACGAGCUAUACUUGAUAAGUGGAUGGACAAUGACAAUAAAGUUAGGUGCUAUAAAUUGGAAUCCAUGCAUGAUGAACUUCAACUCGUGCAUAAAGACAUGUACACUGCGAACGACAUGCUGAUUCAUCUACAAAAAUUGUGAGAUAAUCAGAGUCGCAUAGCGCAUGAGAUACGCAAUUGGCAGUCAGUCCAUGAUCACUGUUUAAUAAUGAUCAAGGACAUUAAAGAACUUGAGAAGCUCGACAUGACCAUGCACAAGAAAUUGCUAGUGAAUUUGAUCAUGCAAUCCCUUCCUAUUUUGUAUGGACAGUUUAUGAUAAACUACCAUAUGAAUAACCCUGAUAGCACCUUAUCUGGAUUGGUCAAAAUAUUGGUAACUAAGGAACCUUGAAAAGUUCAGAAGUACAUAUCUGAAGAGCCUAAAAAAAAGAACACACUUUGGGAAGACAUGUCAAAAUUGCUCAAAAACUAAUCUUACGAUUUUUUCCUCCCUAUUGAGUAUUAGACUCUAGUGCUUGUUUAUGCACUUUAGUACGUCUAAGGGAACACAGAGGACCGAGGGAAGGUAAAGUAACCCUUCAAAUCGGCAAUAAGACAAGAGUUGCUGCUAUGGCCGUGAGCACCUAAUCUCUACGACCACUGUUUGAAUUUAAUUUUUAGAGACAGUCUCUAUCAUUUGCAUGGUGAUGCAUCUGUGAACAUAUUUGAACAAACAGUAAGUACCAUUGGAUCUGAGAGAUCCAUAGUUGAGAUAAACCUAAAGUAUAUAUGGUACUUUAGGCUAGAUUAUAUAGGAGAAGAAAUGAUUUACAAACUGGAGAAACAUGGGCUCUUAGGCUCAUUGACUGUUGAGUCAUAUCUAGUCUGUAUAUCAUCUCUUUGAGGAUAAAUAACCAAGCUGCCCUUUGUGGGACAAGAGGAAGGGACCACUGACAUACUUGCCCUUAUACAUAUUUGAUGCGUGCGGUGUAUUUGAUGUGCCAGACAAGGGAGAUUAUCUCUACUUCAUUGCUUUUACCGAUGAUCAGUCAUAGUAUGGGUAGGUAUAUGAGAUACAAAUCUGAUAUCUUUGAAAAAUUCAAAAAAUUCAGAUGUGAAGUAGAGAAAUAAACUGACAAAAAUUGUAAAGAUACUUCGAUCAGAUCGAGGAGGCAAUGCCAAAGUAGAAAAUUUCUCGGUUGUCUCAAAAAAAAUGACAUAGUUUCAUUGUGGACCCCUCCUAGUAAACCUCAGCUCAAUGGGAUAUCUAAGAGAAGGAAUAGGGCUGUAUAAGAUAUAGUUCGAUCCAUGAUGAACUUCACUAAUUUAACAUUUAUUUCUUUAGAGACAUACUUUAAAUUUACCUGUUAAAUAAGGUAUCCUCUAAAUUCGUUCCUACUACACCAUAUGAGAUAUGGCAAGAUAAGCAACCAAGUCUUGAUCAUUUCAAGAUUUAGAGAUGUCCAGCCCGUAUCAAGCAUAGCAAGCAGGAUAAGUUAGAGGCUAAAUCUAUGAGAGCUAGUUUCAUAGGAUAUCCUAAAGAGUUUGAGAUACUAGUUUUCUUCCCAAAGAAUCACAAUCAUCAUGCUAUCUUUUUGAAAAAUAGUUUAUCCAAGAUAGAGAUGGUGAAAAGAUAAGUUCAAAAAGAGUCUCUGAAAGCAACAAGUCAUAGGACCUGUAGAAUCUAUUCAUGAUGAGCCAAUACAUGUAGUACCUCCUACACCUCGUAGAUCAAAUAGGAUCUUCCAUCCUUAUGAAAGGUAUUUGAUAUGCGAAGAUAUAGAGAAAAUAUUUUUCAUAGGAGAUAGGAAACAUAGAGAUUAUCCCAAGACGUAUGAGGCGAUGUUGGACAUCGAUUUCGAGAAAUGGAUGUGUAGAUAGCCUUCCUAAAUGGAUAUUUUGAGAAGAUAUCUAUAUAGAACGGACUAUGGAUUUCACUUUCAGUGAUAGAGAUCACAAUGCAAAGGUCCAUACAUAGACUUAAGCAAACAUCUUGGAGUUGGAAUACUCGUUUCAAUAGUGUGAUCAAAUUAUUUGAUUUCAUCGAGAAUGAGGACUCGUGUUUACAUGAAAGUUAGUGGGAGUGCUGUCUCAUUCUUCGUAUUGUACAUGAAUGACAUCCUCUUGAUUGGGAGUAUCCCAUGCUGACAUCAGUUAAAAUGUGAUUGUAUAUAAAAUUUUCUAUGAAAGACCUAGGGCAAGCAUCCCAUAAUCUGAGAAUAAAAAGAUCUAUAAAGAUAGAUCUAAAAAGAUGCUUGGAUUUUCACAGAAAAGUACAUAGAGGAGAUGCUAAAGGGUUUAGCAUAGAAACCUUCAAGAGAGAUCUGCUACUCUCUUGGGCAUAAGAGUAUACCAUGCUAUAUACUUGACUUGAUAUAGCCAUUGUUGUGAGUGUCCCGAGCAGAUAUCAGUUAAAUCCAGACUAUGAAUGUUGAAUUGCUGUGAAAACAUCCUUAAGUACUUGAAAAACACUAAGAAUUUAUUUUUGAUCUUUGGAUAAGGGUCUGAACUAAGAGGAGGAUACAUCGAUUCAGACUUUAUGUUUGAUGCUGAUGAUAGAAUGUCUACAUCAGGGUGUGUUCUUGGUUCGAUAUGUUGGAAGGGUUCCAAACAACUGAUCAAUAGAAGCUAAAUACGCUGUAGAUGUAUAGGACGCAUUCUGAUUCUUAUGAUAAUUGUGGAAUUAGAUGUCAUGCCAUCAGAUGUCAUGACACCGUACCAUAAAAACAAUGACCCAUAAUCUUCGCUAAGAAGCCAAGGUCUCACCAGAUAUCCAAGCACAUAGAGCAGUGGUAUACGCGACUACCUCAAGUAGAAAUACAUAGAGGUGCAAAGAGUAGACUCCACAUAGGAUAUGAUAGACCCACUGAUUAAGUCACUUAGUCAGCCGAAGAUCGAAACCCAUCUUGAGAAGAAGGGGCUUAGGUAUAUGACAAAUUGAUUUUAGUGCAAAUGGGAGAUUGUUAGAUAUAUGCCCUAAAAGCUAAUCUUAGCUAACGCAUAUCAUAUUUCUAGGACAUGAUUUGUACUUAACGAACAGUUUUAAUUUCAUUCAUAUUGUAUGUGUUCAUGAAUCGUCCGAGGGAUUAAUAAGAUGAUGACACAUAUUCUCAAAGAGUUGAGAAUUUGAGACAUAUGUCAUUGAUGGUUAAUUCUUAAAUUGCUCCUGAUCAAAGGAUCAUCAUGGGGACGGUGAUUAAUCCAGACAGAUUAGUGCAUUGAUCACUUCUUUCAGACAGAUGAGUCUCGAAUCUGCAGUGUAGGAACACUGGAGUAAGAGUGCAAAUGGUUGUUAGAGAAUAACUAGCACUGAGCGUGAUCAAUAUGAGAAGUCACAUGGAUGUCUACUCACUCAUUAGUGACUUUCUCGAUGUUGCAGUAGUGUGGCUGGUCCUUUGACCUACGAUGCCACGGCUGCUCACAAUGAGACUGUUGAAGUUUCACUACAUAUAAACAUGACCUCAAUGAGUCCUUGUAGUGAAUGUUGAUGACAGUUAAUCUACUAUAGGAACAGGAUGCGCAUCUAGAUGAAAUCUAUUGUCCUUAACGAAAAAUAGUCCUAUAUGAUUUAUGAGAUUGAGUUCAAAAAUCCUUGGCCAAAGUAGUGUGAUUGAUGGAAAAUAAUUUUCAUAGGUAUUCACCAGAUGUACUUGAGUCGAAAAAUCUAACAUAUGACUGAUGAUGGGAUUUGACGAGCUUUCCAUGACCUUCGUCUAGUCGGGACUCACGAUAGAGAGACUGUAACUGCACCUAAAGGUUUAUCAUUUUUAUUCUACUGGAUUGCCACUAUAUACUGCUAAGUGUCACUAGUGGGGCCCAUGAGCAUCAUCUUGAUGAUCGAUGAUCCUUGAUGGGUAAAGUUGAAAUAGUUUCAAUCCAUUGAAAAGAGUUUCGAUGAUAUUAUGAUAGGGAUCACAAUAUACCUCACUAUCAGAUAGAACAGAACCUAUGGGGUCACACACAAAAGAAACUUUUGACUGAUCAGAUGGUUGAGUUGCGAUUAUGAAUCGCAAUAUGAUUUAAUUAUCAAUUUGAUUGAUGAUUAAAUCAAUGCAAAAGUUGCAAUAUUCAAUUUACUGAGGGUUAGUAAAUUUUUAGGAGGAUUUAAUUUGCAAUUGGAUUGCAAUAAGGCUCAAUAUGAUUGAGCUAUAAGAUUCAAAUCAGAUUUAAUUGAAUUUGAUUCAAUUUAAUUUGAUUUGAAUUUGAUUGGAUCAAGUCCUAUUGGAUAACAGGCUUGAUUGGAUCAAGCUCUAUUGGUUAUGAGAUGACUUUAUAUCCAAAAAAUCAAUCCCUAGUUUAAUGGGGUUUAACCUAACUAAUUUCCUAAUUGGAUUAGGGCCUAAUUGGAUUCCUAUUUGGAUUAGGACCUAAUUAGUUAAUUGGUUAUAACUAAUUCCUAAUUUAGUUAGGAUUAGACCAAGAAUUAGUUAGGCUUGGACCAAGAACAAGAAAAGUUCUAGUUGGACUAGGACUCAUUCUUCUUGGCUGCCCCAAACUCCAUGCAAUCUACAUCUUUGCGUGUGAUAUUUCACGCCUAAAACCCAGCCCACACCGCCCCUUUAUUUCCUUUGGAUUAGCGUGAAAGAGGAAUCCUAGUUGGACAGAAUUCUCUUUCUUUCUUGCGCUAAAACUAUCCAACGCACACCCUAGCCCUAAGCGCCCAUUCUCUCCCUUUUUAACGUGUAAAAAAAUCAGAUAUAGAUCUGAUUUUUACCAUGGGGGUUUCUCAGGUCUUCUCCACACUAAAAAUAAAAAUAAAAAAAGGGCCACCCCAAAGCCCUCUUACACGCUAAAAAUUUGGAGUUUGACUCCUAUCUAAAGACCUACUCCACGCUAUUUAGGAUGGGCUCUUAGUCAUGAGUUUUAGAUGGCUUUUCAAUGUGAGAUGGCUGCUGGUUGGCUGUUGUUUUGAUGCAGAAAAUCAGAGGUCCAUGGCGUGGGAAAUAGAGAGGAAACAUUCCUCUUCUUGGUGUGAGAAAAGAUGAGGAAGAAGGUCUUCCUCAUGGGCUGAAGAAAGAAAGAAGGUCUUCUUUUUUGUGUGCAGAUUUUUGGAGAGGAAAGGUUCCUCUUGUAGGCGAAAAAGGGUAGAGAGUGACAUGCCCAGGCCUGAAUAACUAUCUUGUGUAGGUAUGGA
rnacentral:lncRNA from 1 species